UUUUUUUUUUCCUUCCCCUCCCCCCCCAUUAUAUUAGCAUAUUUUGCUCAAACAUGAAGCAAACUUAUGGACAAAGCCAACUUGUCAUGUGCUUCAUGGAUCAUAACAGCAAGAGUGUUUCAUUUCCCAUCCAUACUUAUGAUCAUAUAUACUAAAAUAAAUUACAACACAUUUUUUUCUGGUUAACCUUUUCACCUUUUAAAAACAAUAUACAUUUAAUACUUGAAAUAAGAAAAGAACAAAACAAAUAUAUUUUUUUUUUCACACACAAACAUAUACAUAUGAACUACAUGUGCUUGCAAAUAGAUUUCAGUAAGUGUGAUGAUAUUUUCAUAUAUAAGCACUAUGGCAUUCCCUCCCCAAACAAUGAGAGACUUGCUAUCAUAUGUACUUGCCCAGAAGCCAACUUCCUAGUAUAUGGCUGUAAGCUCAUCAGAUCUGGGUUGUCAUUUACUUUCUACUUACACAGUGCCCACUGUAAUGAAGCCAAAGUGUCAUUUGAUUUCAUCAAAAUGGCAUAAGUGAAUUCUUUAAGAAACAAUAGUAUUUUGUGUUCUGAAAGAUCAAUAUUAUUAACAUGUGUACAACUUGACAACCAUCUUCACAGCUGCCUUGAAAUUUCAAGCCACUAUUCUUGGCUUAUGUGCGAGGAGACAAUGUUGUUGACUUGCAAAUGCCACACAUAGAAAUAGGCAGACUUCUUUAAGAUUACAGAUUUUCUUUUUCUUUUGCUGUCUUUUUUUUUUUUUUUUUUUUGGCUUCUUCCCAGAAUCUACAUCUUCACAUUCUCCAGCUCAGUAAGCAGUGGUAAAUAUUAAAGCAAUCUAAAAUAGAAAGUAUGACGCAAGGUGAGAAAUAAUUAAAAUCUAAGUUCUGCUUAUUUUCCAUUAUAGCCUUGCUUAGUAGAAAGCAAAAAACCUAGAUUCCUUUAUCAAAAUUCUACUGUAACCAAGGAAUAAGAGAACGGUGUCAAGAGGAUUUCUCCUGAUUUAUAUUGCCUGACUGGAGCAGAAAAACUGUUCUCAGUUUCCUGCUUCAAAACUUCUGCUUCAUGGUAAUUGUGGUUCCAUUUUGUACUCUUUUGUACUUUCUAUGAUCUAUUUGAAUAUGAAGGAUAAAGUAUCCUUAAUUUAAGUUGAAAUAACGUGGAACAUGUUCUUGACUAUUCCAGCUCUUUCCUUAUUCCACUGAGGCUAUAAAUACAGAUUUUUGUUUCCAGCUGGCCUUAUAUCCAACCACCUGCUUCUAGUAAAAAAAAAAAAAAAAAAAGACUGAGACUCAGUCAACCUGCAGAUUGCUUUUGGCAUGUAGCUAUCUCAGUAGCAGCAAUCUCAUGAAGUUGGUUUAUUUCAUUUGCAGGAGGAGGUUUACCCAAGCUUUGUCUUCCUUUUUUGUUUCUAUUUUUGGCUUGAAGAGGAUUUAAGAUCCUGCUUUGAGGUCUAGAUUCCAAAAGCCAUGUGAACACAUAGUGAAACUAAACCGAAUCCAGAAAUCUUUAUUUGGCAUCAGUCAUUUGAAACUGAGAAGGGAAGAGGGCACAGCUAGGAGACAGAAAAAGGGAGCAUGUAUCACUGAACCAACUGGCUGUGAUUCUUCUAAGCUGCUGAGGGAAAUUGAGUUUGUAAUUCUUAUUACAGGUGAUAGAAACAGGGCAUCCAAAUUGCUCAGCUAACUUGAAAAAUCUCAUUGUUUCAGUGAUUCUCCAGCAAUCGGGCACUUUACCUUUUCCAAAUGUGUUCCUUUAACUCCUUUGGGCACAAUUAACUUUUAAAUUACUGGAUGAAAGUUUUUUUAGUUGAUUUUAGCAGAAAGACAAUCACCUAGGAUAUUGAAAUGAAGUUAGAAAGCGUGUAUCCCACAUGUUGUCUUACGGCAAAACCACAACUUAGCUGCAGCAGUCUGCCAUUUCUAAGACGCACUGGUUAUUUUAUUUCAGAAGACCAGAGUUACAGUUCAUGGAGGAGGGACAGCUUGACCAUGUGCUUCUUUCCCUGCUACUCCAUGUCAAGCCACUCUGGGAGUCUGAAAGGACAGGAAUAGACAGCAGUCGUCAUGCUAGCCCAAGGUAGACUAGGAUCAUUCAGGGGAAAAAGGUAAUGAGCAAACUGGCCGAAUAGGUUUUCUCUUCCUCACUUCUUCCUGGAUGUUUCACUGCUGGGGAUGGAGGUGAAACUGUAGCUUAUUAUAUAAAUGUUGCGCCCUUUGAAGAAAAAUGUAUAAAGAUUUUCCAUUUUAUUACUGGCUAAGGACCCUUUUUUCACAGGAUGCAGUAGCAGAUGAGGCAAAAUAACUGAACGACAGCAGUUUCUUGGCUGUUUUCGCUAGAAGCUGCUGUUGUCCUUGGGCAUCCAGUAGCUACUUGCUCUACUGGAUUUGAGCAAUGCUUUGCUUUUCCAUGGGUUAAAUAUGUGCUUCAGGCAUUCACACAUCCUGAAAGUUUUUUAGGAAAAGUCCAGUAUGUAGGACAGAUAUCUAGGCAUGGUGUAGGAACGUCUAUUUCAACGUAUCUUUGAUGUGAUUCAGUUGCAAGAUGGCCUACAUUCCAAAGUUUCUCCACGCCAUUUUUUUUUUCUCCUAUCAAAAGGUUUAAAAAAGACUUUCAAUUAAAUAUUAAUGCUGAGUUCUUACUGUGCCUUUUAUGCCUCAACUACAAUUUGUGGUGUUGAGGAUGUAAUGCAGUUUUCUUUCUUAAUUUUCUUUUUGAUAGUAUAAUUGUUACCAUCAUAGAUGGUGCAAUACCAUGAUGCAAGAAAUAAGGAAAAAAAGAUAGUUACCAUUUACGUAAUAAAGGAAACCUUGAAUGGCAAGUGUGAAAAUGACUUCAACUUACUUACUUAAAAAAAAAAAAAAA
ensembl:lncRNA